GGACUGCGACACGGCCCAGACUCCUACGGGAGGCAGCAGUAGGGAAUUUUCCGCAAUGGGCGAAAGCCUGACGGAGCAAUGCCGCGUGAAGGAAUAAGCCCCUCGGGGUGUAAACUUCUUUUAUCAGGGACGAGGAUGACGGUACCUGACGAAUAAGCAUCGGCUAACUACGUGCCAGCAGCAGCGGUAAUACGUAGGAUGCAAGCGUUAUCCGGAUUUAUUGGGCGUAAAGCGUGUGUAGGCGGUUUGGUAAGUUUGUCGUUAAAGCCCGGUGCUCAACACCGGAAUCGCGGUGGAUACUGCCAAACUAGAGAUGAAGAGGGGAAAACGGAAUUCCCGGUGUAGCGGUAAUAUGCAUUGAUAUCGGGAGGAACACCAGAAGCGAAGGCGGUUUUCUGGCUUCUAUCUGACGCUAAGACACGAAAGCCAGGGUAGCAAAAGGGAUUAGAUACCCCUGUAGUCCUGGCCGUAAACUGUGGAUACUAGGCAUUAGAAGUAUCGACCCUUUUAGUGCCGCAGCUAACGCGUUAAGUAUCCCGCCUGGGGAGUACGACCGCAAGGUUAAAACUCAAAGGAAUUGACGGGGGUCCGCACAAGCAGCGGAGCGUGUGGUUUAAUUCGAUGCAACACGAAGAACCUUACCGAGGUUUGACAUCCUAGGAAUCCCCUGGAAACAGGGGAGUGCCCGAAAGGGAAUCUAGUGACAGGUGCUGCAUGGCUGUCGUCAGCUCGUGCCGUGAGGUGUUGGGUUAAGUCCCGUAACGAGCGCAACCCUUGUCCUGUGUUGUAUUUUUCACAGGAGACUGCCCCGCACAACGGGGAGGAAGGUGGGGAUGACGUCAAGUCAGCAUGGCCUUUAUAUCUUGGGCUACACACACGCUACAAUGGCCGGUACAAUGGGUCGCGACGCCGCGAGGUUUUAGCUAAUCCCAUCAAAACCGGUCUCAGUUCAGAUUGGAGGCUGCAACUCGCCUCCAUGAAGUCGGAGUUGCUAGUAAUCGCGGGUCAGCAUACUGCGGUGAAUACGUUCUCGGACCUUGUACACACCGCCCGUCACGUCCCGAAAGUAGGCAAUACCCGAAGCCAGUGAGCUAACCCGCCUCGGCGGGAGGCAGCUGUCGAAGGUAGGGUCAAUGAUUGGGACGAAGUCGAAACAAGGUAGCCGUACGGGAACGUGCGGCUG
rnacentral:rRNA from 1 species